UCUUCCGUAGUAUAGUGGUCAGUAUGUGAGCUUGUCAUCCGCCCCCAGGCACCCGACUCCGCUCGAGACCCGGGUUCAAUUCCCGGCGGGAGAG